UCCAGCCUCAAUGUCUUCCUCGACUACGCAUCCUAGGCUUGAAGGUCGCUCUCUUCAGACACAGUUAGACAAAACGUCGAACGAUGCUUCAACGCAUAAACGCACGUCAAAGGUAAACUAUGUAUACCUUUGUAUACGUAUAUAUAUAUAUAUAUAUAUAUUCGAAUUGAAGAUGAGACGGAAAGGUACAUGCUACAUCUAGGCAUACCCAUUUGCCUCUUAUGAAUGCCAAUAUAUAUAUAUAUAUAUAUAUAUAUAUGCUAGGGGUAACAAGAGGAAUAUGUAAAUAUAUAUGCAGGUUGAGAAUGGUGGAACAAAUACACAUGUUAAGAAUGCCGAGAUGGGUAAAUCUUUCUACGUAAAUUUGUAUGUGUACCUGCUACGAGUGUAUAUAUAUAUAUAUGGCAAAAACAGGAUUGUUUGAGUUUACCUGCAGAAAUUCGUUCAUUCCCUUUGAGUUUUAGCAUCUCUCUGAGGAGUUCCAAACCGUCUGCGCCCAUGACAAGGCCAAACUGGAAGAGCAGAUCUGCUGCCUCCUGACAGGAGGACAUGCCUCCCGGUUGAGUGGAAGGUGCAGAAAGAUGCCUCGGGUGUAUGGGCCUCGGAAAAUGUGUAGUUUCGUUUUUUUCACAGUUUCUCGCCUCCUUCCCUAGAGACUCUGUCCCUGUAACUUCCGGUUCAGUUGUUUUCUCCUGUGAAGCCGACGCUUCCAGACGGACAGUUCUGCUCUCUCCGCGGGUGGGGCUCUUUUCUCUCUGCUUCAAGAGGUCUCCGUUCUCAAGCCAAGGUUCCUCUUGUUUCUUUGUCGGAUUUUCGGAGCUCUGUGCCUCCCCACGUUCCACCCUCUUGUGGGUUCUGCGGGCGACAACACCGUCAUCCCGGUGUUUCGCUGCCUGCUUUGCGUUUCCAUCCGUCUCGCCAUCCUUCGAGGCCAUGCAUUCGUCCACCGUUUCGGCAAAAUAAGAAGCUUCUUCUUUCUCGCGCUCCUCUUCGUCUUCUUCGGUUUCACGUUUUUCCUCCUCUCUGUGGAAGUAAUCGAUGACUUUGUCCCAGUCCGCAGGUGGCCACAGUGGGAGCAUUCGAACCCACAUUUCGGCUUCUUUCAGCAGCGCCGCGGUCUCGACAGAUUCAGUGCCUUCUGUUGGAGUCACUUCCUCCUGUGGGUCUCUUGAACUUCGCGAGAGAAGGCUGCUGCCCUGGAGUCCUGUUUGUUCACUAGGAAAAAACAGAGACUCAGCCAACAUGCGCCUGUCAGAACUUUCCUCGGGGGGUGGCAGACGCGGCGCCCUUGCCAUGUGCUGUGCGUACGCGGGGGAGGAGAAAACUGCCAUUUCAGGUGCAUCUGGGUCCCUUCGAAUGCGUUCUGCUUCUCUGCGUUGAAUUGCAAAGGUAGGCGCUGAGCGUCUUCUCUCCCUCCCUCUGUGGGGCACUGCUCCGUCGACGCCUUCGUCGUUCCGGUAUCUUGUCUCUUCCUCGUCACUCUGUCGCGCGUACUCCCUUUGUACUGAGUAGCCCGUCCGAUCCGCUUCUGCCUCUUGGCUGCCUUCUCUCCUGUCUCUUUCCCUGGCUCGUCUUUUCCUCUCCUGCGGUUCUUCUGUGUCCUCCCCGUCGUCGGCACUCUGACUUUUUCGCUGGGGUAGAGUCGUCUUGCACGGAGCUGAAACGCGGUCGCGCAAACCUAAGCUCGAGGACGCAGAAGAAUCAAGAGACGAGGAACUCGAUCUUUCGUUUGCCACUGAGGCACGCGUGGUGAAGACUUCGGGACGGGCCAAAGUCGAAACGGACGGUCUUUUCGUCUGCUUUACUCGUGUCUGGGUUGCUGCCUGUGCAGCGAGGGUCUGUGCCCGGUGCUUUGCUUGAGAAUCAUGGCCACCUCUCUCAACGAACGACGGUGGAAUGUCAGAAACCCCCGAGUAGAGAGGCGGGGAUCGGGUGACGGGGAAAUGCUCGACUCUCAAGCGAGGGAAAAACGGGUUUUGUCUUGAAAAAGGCCGGUGCUCUGCGGAAGGAUCAGCUGGAACUGGCAAACCGCACAUUUCCGCCCAUGUCCGUGCGUCCACUGGGGUGCCAAGGAGACGGAAAAUCUGCAAAAAGCGACAGACGAAGAAACCGAUACACCGACAUGGGAGAGCGGAAGCGAGCAGACGGCACAAAAGCACAUUCCGUUUCUCCGUCGUUUCCUUUUCCCCCCAUCCACCGGUGGUCCAAUGAAAAAUGAAAUGGAAACGUAAAUACGACGCAGGGCGACAAAGAAGAAACGAAGACGGAUGGAGUGCAAAGUUCGAUCAAGCGCUUAUGCAUUCAUGCAUGAAUAUAGGUCUACAAACAUAUACACAGGACAUUGGGACACUCGUCAAGUUUUACUUCUACCGUCUGUAUCGGGUGCGGAUGUCUGUUUCCGUCUGAUCGCCUCGUUUCCCUUCUUUGCACUCCUCUACUGUCAACGGUAUCGGUCACUAACAUGCCCCCCAGUACAUUUUUUGACUACAGCUUCUAGAUGAUUGAUUGGAAAUUUUUAUGCUUUUCUCUUGUUCAGCCCAAGUCUUACAACGUACACAGACAGACACGCUAAACUGGACCCGCUGCGUCUCUGUGUUUUACCGCAAAUUUCCUUUACGUUCUCUUCCGGGUUGCCGCGCCACUUUCAGCGGCAAGACACGCAGUCGUCGAAUCUCUUUCUGUUUGUCUUCGUCUAGUUUCAUUUCUCAACUGUUUACGCCAUACCUCUUUCCUCAGGUGAACAAGGAACCGAAACGGCAACACGCUUGUGUCUCGCGAUCUUGCGAAUCGUCCGUUCUUUGGCCCCGUUUCCGUCACGGAUGAACGUCUGCACUAGGCGGGGUGUAGAUGAUGUCUCUGGCGCUGUGAGUGGUUCUGAGGUUUUGGAAAUUGGCCAAUCUGUGCGCGAAGAAAAUCUUGAUCUCAUGCCUUCCCGAGUAACUGUGGCCGCAGGCUCAGGGCCUUCUUUGCCUCCAGUGCAAGGACGAAUGAGGAUAUUUUCCGGCUUCAAGUUGCGGUGGAGAAUGCCGUGGCUGUGCAGACGAGAGAGACCGCGUAAGAGCUUCUGGAGAAUGCGCCAGACAAAUUCGCGGUGUAUUUCUUUCGCGUGAAAGGCAGGACGGCGGCUUAGGGAACGCUGGCCAGAGAGGCUGGAGGCGGAUAGGGAGCGACGAUUCUGUGAGCCGGUCAUCCGGUAUGUGGAAACAUCAAACGUUUCCUCUCUUGACAGCGGUGAAGGAGUUGCUGUGUGGGAGCGGAGAGUUAAGAAGCCGGUCGUUUUUAAGCCCUAGAGUAAACAGUACGGAAACAGGUUCGAGACACAGCAACUACACGGUGAGUGUCGACCUUGAUGAAUGGGCGGGUGUAGUCUCUGAAACACCAAGAGCGGGAUCUUGCAUUGUAGAGCCGGGGGUGCAAUGAUACACAAAAAAAUAAUAUGACAAUUUGAGAAACAACUUCUCGAACACAGGGGAAGCGGGGGCAAGUAGACAGCCAAAGCCGUAGUUGAAUUUGUGGAUUGCGGAAAGUGGAUACGCACCUCCCAGAAUGUCCGCAGGUUGCUCUCACAGAAAUCAGUAAUCAUGUAGAGCGUACUGCCCUCGAUUUGACAGCCGAAAAACUCAACAAUGUUCAUCGAUUCAUGGGCAUCUCUUGCACGUCGUCGAAUCAACGCGGAGACAUCCCCAAGCUGCGUCGUUUGUCCAGCAGUUUCCAUCCCAGGAUCUCCCGAAUUGUCGUGAAGAGGCCCGUAGGGAAAUUCGGCUUGGUCGUGAUCGACGUUCCAUUCCGAACGGGGUCGCCGCUCUCGCGGAGGAAGCGAAGACCGGGAAGGAAGCCAGACGGGGCAGGUAGAAGGAAGCGUGGGAGGCACGGCGGUAAGGGCUAUAGACGAAGAACAGCGGUAGGCGCUUCGGGUGAUCUCGUGCUGCCUUUUUCUUUCCAAUUCCUCUCGAUCCUGUCGGCGCCUCACAUGAAUUAGCUGAAGGCGAAGUUCUUGCAGAAGAGAUGCUUCUCGGAGUAUCGACGCUGGAACACCAUCGUCAACUUCUGCAUUUGCGCUCGCGAGGUUGACACUUCGAACAGCCACGCGUGUAAACAGAGGAGAUUGUUCCGGGUCUCGCGAGCGGCUACACCAAGGACAGGAGGCCGCUAAAGAAGGAAUCGAGAAAGAACCAAUAGAAGGUGAACCAUAACAAGAAGGGGCUAUUGGAGAUUGCGGAAUACAGGACACUAAGCGGCAAGUUCCUGAAGAUUGAGAGGUCGCACAUACAGCAGGGUGUCCGCUUUCAGUACGACUGGUUCUUGCAGUACGUGACACAGUGGAUCCGCUGAACGGAUGAUCCUCCGCCUUCAAAGGCCGACACUGUACGCCGCCUCUGGGACUUUUGCUGGCAGAAACAGCAGAAGAACAGACAGCCGGCGUAGGCGUACAAGAAGUGGAUAUCGAGUGUUCUGCAUGUUCUGCAUGCAAACCUCGCCAUGUAUCAUUCACAGAAUCUACCCCAAUUCUGUUUCCGGAAAUUGAAGAUGCGGAUGUGGGAGAAAGAGAGCUGCAUGGGUAAACAUGUACCUCAUUGUGCACGUGACGGGAGCCAUCAUCCGCAGGCUUUGUCUCAACAACGGAGCGGCAGAAAGAAUCCGGUCUAUUAUCAGUGUGGUGAAGUUGUCCUUCCGUUGUCCUUAGCGAUGCGGUCCUUACUGCCUUGAGAACGGCCACGGGGGUCCGCGCAAUCCGCACUUUCCCCUUGGAUCUUCUUUCACUGAUAAUCCCACGUGGUUCAAAGCGUAGACACGCCAGUAAACCCUCGCGUUCUAGCACCGUCGCCCAGUGCGGUGAAGACAAGAUUUCGCGGCGCAUUGCUUUGCACGUAACUGUGAGUGCCGCGUAGGCAACUGAAGCUCCCAGAGUCUCAAGAAGCAAACCACAGAUUGAGAGAAGGGAACAAGUUCCACAGAGAGAUGGUGCAGAUGACCGGCAACUUGAGAAAUGUCUGAUCCGGUUGUUUUCAGUAGGCUCGUCUGCAGGAGAAUGUGUGUAGCAGACCAAAGGUGCCGAGCAUUUAUUUUUACCGGUAUCUUCCUCGCAGCAGCGACAUCGUGUCGUUACCACACCUGUUUCUGCACAGAGCUGCCUUAGGCAGCCUUUGGGAUUUCCAGUGAAUCUCUCCAUGGAAGAUGCAGUGGAUGUGUUUCCGGUGGUACAGAACGUGUCCUUAAUCGUCGUUCCAUUUGCGUCGUGCUGUCGCGGCAACGGGAUGGACGCUGAGAUUUCCCCACGCGAAAACCCCGCGUUCACAUUUGAGCACGCAUCGGCGUGCCUUACAAGCCGCCCGCGUGGUUCCUGCAUCUCACGAGCAGAAGUUGCAGAUGCCGGAUAGUUCGAAUACUUGCCGCAUGUAAACGUCUGUGCACGCCGGGGUUUCCGCUGGUGCUCUGUCGGUUUCUCAGGAAGGUAAGCAAACGCAGCCCUUGUACGGACCCUCACGGAUGUGUUCCCCUGUUUCCUCAGAGCAGGGAGUUCGACCAAUUUGAAGAUUGGCUUUCAUGGGAACGGUGUCUAUCCACAAAAUACUGCGGUAACGAGACACAGGAAGUCCCUGUUAUAGAAAAUGUCUUAUACUGCCACACCUUGGGUCUCCGGUCAUGAAUUUCACCUGACGGUUGGGUUCGCUGAGACGUUAUGGAUUCAAGCUUGAGUGACAACCGUUAGCUGCGCGCAUAUCCGAGGGGAAAUUCUGGCCGGAUAGACAUUCUACGCGUGUAAUCGGAGAAUAAAUUUUCGGACGUGAGGGGAAGUUUAACUGCAGUAUAUAUGUUUCGGGAAUGUGCAUGUAUGUUUGUGACGUGGCUUUCGCUGGCAAUCGCCACCAACCAAACACAACUUCUAUUGGAUAUUUCGACACGUACAGUCGGUAAUGCAGAAUUUAUUAAUCUACGUGACACGCGUAGAGGGAUCGGUGAAUCUGUUCGAAACCAAAUAUACGGUUUCAGGGUUUGAUUUUUUGAUGGAAGUUUGUGGACGGGCGCAAUGAUGGAACGUUGACCCGUCUCGAUCGCAAGUAAGGCCAGUGUCCUUGUUUCCAAGACCAGUCCAGGCCUAGAUGGAUGACUUCAUGGGGAAUUCAGUCACGUGUAAAAAAGCCAAAGGAAAAGCGCACAGAUUCCGCCGUUUUUAUGCUUCUCCUCCCGGGCAAGAAAAUGAAAGAUGGGGAGGAGCAGCGAAAGGGAAAUCACUGCAUUACAUGCGCUGUCCUCUCCGCUUUUCGGGGGAGCUUGUUGAAGGCACCUUUGACUAAAUAAAAAGCAUCAACCGGUACAUGGGCCCUUGCAAAGGAGGAGAAAUUAAUAAGAAAUCGAUACGAAUUUCCUGAGGCGACAGACAGAACCCAUGUGGGCCACAACCACCCAUGUGCAGUUGCCUCGCCUGUCGACAACCAACGAAAAAAAGAGUGUGUUGAUGAGUCUUCUGCCCGUGGAUAAGAAACGUUAAAAAAUUUAGCCCUCUCUCGGAACACAAAAACAAGGCGUUUGGCCAUGAAUAGGGAAACGCAGAUGAGGAUGGAAUGCUUAUCCUUUCGGGCGAGCAUGUGGAAAGCGCUCAACAUCUACAGCCUUCUUCUAAAAGUGCCUUUCAGGGGGUCUUUUAUUCGAUACUUGUGACAUCUUGAGCCCAUUUCUUUUACAAGAAAGGCUUCAGACAGCGGAGAGCACGCACUGCCAUCAAAAGGAAAUCGGCACCUAAAAAAAGCCGGAACGACGCAGCGAGUGCGUGCCCUCUGUUGCCACAACAAGGUAAAUUCAGUUGUUCAUGCCGACUGAGAAAUGCAAUGUUUUUUUCGCAUUUCGUGACGAAAAAUCGAUUGUAUGAGAGCCGAGAGGACUUGUAUUCACAGACGAAUCCGGCCAAAAGCCCACCUAUGCGCCUUCCGCGUGUGACAGCACAACGCAGCAAUGCGUGACGCCACUUAUUUCCCCAAGCC
rnacentral:lncRNA from 1 species